rnacentral:rRNA from 1 species
UUAAUUGAAGAGUUUGAUCAUGGCUCAGAUUGAACGCUGGCGGCAGGCCUAACACAUGCAAGUCGAGCGGUAGCACAGGGAGCUUGCUCCCGGGUGACGAGCGGCGGACGGGUGAGUAAUGUCUGGGAAACUGCCUGAUGGAGGGGGA